rnacentral:rRNA from 1 species
UACAGAGGUCCCAAGCGUUGUUCGGAUUCAUUGGGCGUAAAGGGUGCGUAGGCGGCGCGGUAAGUCGGGUGUGAAAUCUCGGGGCUUAACUCCGAAACUGCAUUCGAUACUGCCGUGCUUGAGGACUGGAGAGGAGACUGGAAUUUACGGUGUAGCGGUGAAAUGCGUAGAUAUCGUAAGGAAGACCAGUGGCGAAGGCGGGUCACUGGUCCGGUACUGGACGCUGAGGUGACGAAGCGUGGGGAGCAAACAG